CACCAGCCACAUUUGUAAAAUCGGUUUAACAACAAUUUAUACGCUGAAUAAUAUUGGCGGUUUUACCGCAGUGGACGCGUCAAAAUUAUUUUUCGUCAUAGCCAGGAACCAAUGCUACACUUACAUGCCGGGAACCAUUGUGACACGAAAUUUUAAUCCCGGAUAAAAUGUUAGAGGUUAACAUACAAUGAUACAUGUUGUUUGGCGGCAUCUUGUAGACCGGUGUGGACACAGUGGUUUGGCGGUAACUCGACCGAAAGAAGAACUUAAAUUAAGGUAGAAGAAGAAGAAGCUCAAGGCGUGCCAUCCUAACAGUUGCAAUUUUGACUGUUCAGCAUGUUAGAAAAGCAAGCUCUACACCUAUUCACGGUCAUCAGCCCCACCAAAUUCUAGUCUGUCUUGUUUGUUACACACCUGGUCAUCUGUCAGGAACUAGAGAGAAUACAUCUGACUUAGAGUACCGAGUUAUUACAAGGCAGCCUUGAAUCGGACAGUGGGUCUGAUCAAUGAAAACAACGGAUACACAUGCAUCCCAUGCUUGCAUGUCCAGGAUUUGAAAUGAGUACAUGGAGAUCAACAAGUAAAAUUCCCUCCGAUCGAAGUUCCUUGUUGAUCCAGCUUUUCCAAAGUCAAUGUCCUUAACAAUCACCCAUCAUACACCGUCCGCAACUGUGGAGCUGCUAGUAUCCAAGAGGUCAAGGAUCAGGGGAGUAAGCCGAAAACAAUUUUUAGAUUAACUCAUAGAAAUUGGUACAUAGUGUACGUUGUUUAAACUGACAUAACGUCAUUGUGAAAUAAAAACUUGUCAUAGCUGAAAUAAAUGAUAGCUGACUAUG